rnacentral:sRNA from 2 species
CAGCCACGACUGUGGUCCGCCGUCCAGCGAAGUCCGGUGUGAAUCCGGCGCUGUCCCGCAACCGUGAAGCCCCGCAAGGGGACGAGUCGGGUCGCCUGACGACGGGUCGGUUUGGAGGCCUUCGGAGGAAGGGUCGCCCGCCACC